UACGUAGGGUGCGAGCGUUGUCCGGAAUUAUUGGGCGUAAAGGGCUCGUAGGCGGUUUGUCGCGUCGGGAGUGAAAAUCCACUGGCUUAACUGGUGGCUUGCUUUCGAUACGGGCAGACUGGAGGUAUGCAGGGGAGAACGGAAUUCCUGGUGUAGCGGUGAAAUGCGCAGAUAUCAGGAAGAACACCAACGGCGAAGGCAGCUCGCUGGGACGGUACUGACGCUGAGACGCGAAAGCGUGGGGAGCGAACAGG
rnacentral:rRNA from 1 species